rnacentral:rRNA from 1 species
GAUGAACGCUGGCGGCGUGCCUAAUACAUGCAAGUCGAGCGAACGGACGAGAAGCUUGCUUCUCUGAUGUUAGCGGCGGACGGGUGAGUAACACGUGGAUAACCUACCUAUCAGACUGGGAUAACUUCGGGAAACCGGAUCUAAUACCGGAUAAUAUUUUGAACCGCAUGGUUCAAAAGUUAAAGACGGUCUUGCUGUCACUUAUAGAUGGAUCCGCGCUGCAUUAGCUAGUUGGUAAGGUAACGGCUUACCAAGGCAACGAUGCAUAGCCGACCUGAGAGGGUGAUCGGCCACACUGGAACUGAGACACGGCCCAGACUCCUACGGGAGGCAGCAGUAGGGAAUCUUACGCGAUGGGCGAAAGCCGGACGGAGCAACGCCGCGUGAGUGAUGAAGGUCUUCGGCUCGUAAAGCUCUGUUAGUAGGGAAGAACAUAUGUGUAAGUAACUGUGCACAUCUUGACGGUACCUAAUCAGAAAGCCACGGCUAACUACGUG